rnacentral:rRNA from 1 species
UGUAAGCGUAUACCAAAGUUGUUGCAGUUAAAACGCUCGUAGUCGGAAUUUGGCAGUUCCGGAUGUGUGCACGUCGUGUGCGCACUUCGCGGGGAUUGCUUUUGUGGUCUUGCGUAGGAUGAGGCACUUUUAUUAGUGAACGUCCUCACGCAACCACUUUUUACUGUGAGAAAAUCGGAGUGCUCAAAGCUGGCAUUUGCCGUGAAUGUAUUAGCAUGGAAUAAUAGAAUAGGACUUGGUUCUAUUUUGUUGGUUUGUUGGGACUGAGUAAUGAUUAAGAGGGACAGUUGGGGGCAUUUGUAUUUCGGUGCUAGAGGUGAAAUUCUUAGAUUACCGAAAGACAAACUGCUGCGAAAGCGUCUGCCAAGGAUGUUUUCAUUGA